GUUGUCUGUUUGAGUAAUGAGUGUAGAAACCUACAAUGGAGGCGUGAUGGCUGAUGCAAUCAUUUUCCACUGAUGAAGGUUUUGAUGGCUACCUGUAAUGAACAGCCCCAUCUGAUUUAAUCACUGCAAUGACCGUGAACUGUACGGUUACCUCCGUGUGUCACAGGAAGACUCUUUUGACUUAAGCACCCUUCCAUGGUCAUGAGGUUUCUGGUUGCCUCUGUGUUAGAAGCUUGGAGACCAAUGCCUUCUGCUGUGAUCGCGUUCUCCACAGUUGCCUCUGGGUAGGAGCCUGGACACUAAUAGAAAAUGGAUGCACUGGAGCUGAUUUAAACAUUCUUUGGUGGUCACAAGAUGUAUAGCUGCCUCUGUAUGUUUGGUGCAUGGAAAAAAAUAUGAGUUUUUGUGGACAUACACUCUUUAUUUGAAAAGUAUGAAAUAUAAUCCAAGAAAGCCAGCCAUGGCUCAGUGAUAAAUAUGGAAUUGAUAUGAAACAUUAUAUUGAUUAAUCACCUUUGAGGAUGAUUAAUAAAAGAGAGAAAGUGAUUCUAUAUAGAGAUGCAGGACUAUUUCAGGCUCGUUCAUGAUCUAGGUUUUUGUGCUUCAUGGUUAUUAUUAUCAAUAAAAAGAAAAAA
rnacentral:lncRNA from 1 species